rnacentral:lncRNA from 1 species
UUUAGUCUCCUAGAAUAUUUUUUAAGCACCUUUUUGGGUUUCCUUCGCCCCUUAAAAAAUUUCCAAGUAUGGGCAUUGAUAUGGAUUCGCUCCCCUCAGCCUCUUAGAAUAUUUUAUAAGUAUAGGCUCACCAUUUGUGGGUUCCCUUCAGCCUCUUAGAAUAUUUUAUAAGUAUAGGCUUACCAUUUAUGGGUUCCCUUCAGCCCAUUGUAAAUUUUCUAAGCAUGGACUCCACCCUCCAUGGGUUAACUCAGCCUGUUAAUUUUUUUUUUUUAAAUAUAGGCUCGCUCUCCUUGGAUUUCUCCAUUUAUUAAAAAAACUUUUCUAAGUAUAGAUUCCUCUAUGGUUUCACCUCAUCCUCUUAGAAUUUUUUUUAAAGUAUGAAUUCCUCCAUGGUUUACUUUUACAUACUUAGAAAUUGUUUUUUCAAACAUAGGGCAUACCCAUACAUACAGGCUCUCUGAUAUAUUAACUGGGGUUUUCACUCCACUUCUCAUACCAAAAAACUCGAUAAAAUUGUUGUACCAGGUACUUUUACAAGUUUUUGCAUACAAAUAUCACAAAGACUUAGAGGGCUAUUAAUAAAACCAAAUUUAAGGGUCCAAAAAACCCUCCAUCAUCCCUUAAGCUUAGCAAAAGGAAUGAUCUAUUUUUUUUUGGCACAACUAAAUUUUGGAUCAAAUUGUUAGAACCAAAAGAUAAUCGAUUAUCCAAAACAUAAAUCUUACUCCAAAAUUACUUGAAUUUUUUGAGACAUUGCAAAUAUAUAUACACACAGUCUUAGUCACGAUAGAAAGUAAAAUUAGAAAAUUGAAAUUUUAAUUGGCACCUGUUCUCCUUGGAAGGGUUGGAAAAAUGAGAAGAAAUUGCAAACACAUGGCAUUCGUCGCCAAUUAUAUCAGACAAUCAGAUAUUGUUCUUGUUCUUGAUUGCAAUGUAAAGCUUGAGAACUGUUUCUACAGCUGGGUUAUCUUCCUCUCCUGAUCGUGAUGAUGAGGUCUUAGCAUUGGAUGACACUAAUGGCAAUAACACUCUAUGCUUUGAAGAGUAGCAAGACGUUUCAAUCAAUGGUUGGUGCAACAAUGGUGAAUGACACAUACACAUAAGCACAACUUCUCGUACGCAUAUUUCCGUGACUAAAUUUCUAUUGUGCUACGCGGCUGCCAUGCUUUUCCUAAAUUUUUAAACAGAAAUUAUUUUGAAUUAAUUUUUUAAUUGUUUUGAUGUAUAAUAUUUUGAAAUUAUUUUGAUGUAUUAAUGUUAAAAAUAAAAUAAAAAAUAAAAAAAUAUUAUUUUAAUAUAUUUUCAAGCAAAAAUACUUUAAAAAAAAUUAUUAUCAUAAUAUUGAAUACUAUAUAUUGGAAUUCUUAUAAUACUUGCAGGAUUAUAGGAAUUCCUUUGCUCGUGGGAUGAGUUAAGGGAGGAGAAAUUGAGACUAAUCUUGUGCCAUUUAACUAGGGGGGGUGGGGACAAUGGCCAUUUGAUGUUGAAUGGAUAAGAUGAGCACUGGAUGCGACAUAAGUAGAAGUCUUGAGGAUAAAGAAAUAAUUUAUUUCAAGGGAUUUUUCGAAUGAAGAAAGGGUAAGUAACAUGUAAGAAAAAUGUAUGUUUUUUGUUUUUUUGGUUCAUUGUAAUAAAAGAAUUUGAAGCAAUACUUCCAAUUUCUUCAAAGUGUAAUCCAGGGAGGUUACUGAUCUUCAUGAAAAUAGUAACAUGAGAUCUAUUACAAUAUAUAUAAAAGGAAAGAAAAGGAAACAUGGUUUAAAUGUUUGCAGUAUAAAAUGUUCCACUAGCCAAGAUUAUAUUUUCAAGGAAAAAAAAUAGAAAUAAUAUUUUCUUGAACUAAUUAGUAUUCAAGUUGUGUUUUUAUGCUGGUUUGUGCAUAUUAUAAUAAAAUUUAUUUUUUUAUAUUUUAUCAAAAAGAUAUGAUCAUUCAUGUCAAAAUUUGGAAAUUCAUUAAGAUCUUACCUAAAUCACAAUCAACAAAGUAGGAUGGCAUAACUCAUAAUGGCAGGGGGGUUUGAUAUUUUUGUAUUUCUAAAUAAUUUAUUUAUUAUUUAAGAAACUAAAUGACUUGUUGUAGCCCAAUCUACAACAAAAUAUGUACUGGGUUAUAGUAAAAAAAAAAAAAAACUUUGUGAUCUUUGAUCUAAAAACUUUAAGCCGCUUUGGGGUGUUGAUAGUUUUUUCUUUUUUUCCUUUAAAAUCAACAAAAUAUAAAACUGUUGACCAAUAUUUUUUUUUUAUUUUGCAUAAGUUUCUUAAUAUAAAAUUACAUAUUUGCCUACAAAAUCAAAAAAUUAUUGUGCUGCCGAAUAAGAGUAUUUUAGGGUUUUCAAAUUUUAAUGUAUAGUAUAAUUACAUCUUUAAUCUUGGAAGAGACAAAACAUAAGCUUAACAUUUGAGGGUAUUUAUGUGCUUUCAUAUGAGUAUUUUGUGUAAUUCUCGGGGUUAUGGGGGACAUUUUUGUAUUUUCACUUUUGUUUUUGAAUUUUUUAAUGCUUAAAGUUGCUGGAGCGUGCUCGAUACACUCCGACGCGUGGGUAGCAUACGCUUCAUUUAAGUGACGCGUGUAAUGCCACCAGGUGGACGUAACUAGCCUUCCAUCGUCUUCCUAGAUGAGCCAUUGUGUACUCUUCCAUUUAGAGUGACAUGUAACAGCUUAUGGUGGUUGGAUUGUUGUUGGUGGUCAUUUGAUUUUUUUUCUUCUUUUCUCUCUCGUGACAAGUAAUGUAUACCAUUGUCCUAUUUGUUUCUUACUUUUUAAUUUUAGCUCUCAUACUAUUAAUUUCUUAUUUCGUUUAUUUUUUAUUUAUAGAAGUUUUUAUUCUUUUCAAUUUAGUCCUUCAAUUGCAAUUUCUCAUAUGUUUGGUUUUUCAUUUUGGUCCUCAUUUUUUUUAAUUUCUAAUUUUAUCCUUGGCACUUUUGUCAAAGUUUUUUUCUUUCAAUUCUAUCAUUCAAUUAGAUUUUCUGUUGUUUUAUUUGUUUUAGUUUGACCCUUAUUCUUUUGAUUUUUUUUCCUUUUAUUAAAGCUAUUUUUCAAUUCAAUUAAGCCCUCCAAUUGCAAAUCUUUAUCCUUCUAAUUAAUGUUUUUCUCACCCUUAUUUUUUUUAUUUUUUUCUGUAAUUAAUAUUUUUUUCUGGUUUCAUCUUUCAACAUUUAAUUUGUUGGGAAUUCAGCUUCGUACGAUCUUAUUGUUCUGCAUUAGUUUUUUUAAUAUUAGUUUUGUGAUUAUCUUCAAGCUUUUUAUAUGGAUUUAUCAUGGUCUUAUGACCUAGGUCACGAUUUUUGCAUGCUGUUUUUUUAAUAUAAGUUUUUUUAGUUGUUAUGUUUCUAUUUCAUUUUUCAAGGCAUUAUUCUAACUCAUAUAUAAUUUUAUUUUUAUACAAAUGAAGUUUAUUUUUUAAAAUAAAAAAAUAUUCAUUUUUAAAUUAUAUUGCUAAUGUGUUUGACUUUGUGUAAUAUUUUUUUUUAUGAUGUGAAUUUAUUCAGUCAGUUUCAUUUAUGUUUAUUUUUUAAAUCAUUAGUUUUUUAGAGUAUGAAUUUAUCAUUUAUUUAUUUAGAUAAAUAAGAUCAGUAAACAUAAUCGAAUGCAUGCCUUAUUUUAUAUUAUUUAAUAUUUUGAUCUUGCUUACAUAGACCUUUUAAUUUUUAUUUUGAAUUUUUUUAUAUAAAAAGUACAUUGAAGCAACCUGCAUAUCUAGUAUAUCUGUGAUGUAGAUAUCCACAAUUAAUUUCAAAUCUAAUGUAUACAUAAUAUCGUAUCUGUGUAGCAUCGCAACAAUCGUAGUAUUUAUAAAUUUCCAAAUAGUUUAUCUUACUUGAAAUGCACAAAUGGCUUAAAGAAAUUCUACGAAAUCUAAAAACCUUGGAGGCUUCAACAAUUUUUGUUUUUUUUCUCUUUGAUUGCUUUAACAAUGGAAUAAAUCUUCCUUUCUUUCAUCUUUUAUAUUUUACUAUCAGUAAAAAAUACAAUUUUAAAUUUCUUGACAUGUUAAGUGAAAUUGUUAAAUCACAGCAACCAUGAUACUAUAUAGUAUUUUAACUAGUUUGACAAAUUUUACUUAAGAAAUCACAUUUAAAAACAGGAAACAAAUUGCAUCAUAUUUAUAUAUAAAAAAAAAAUGCAUCCAUUAAUGUGCUAAUAAAGAUAGUAAUCACUAGAUCUCCUCAACUUUUUCACAAUUUUAUAUAGAUGUACUUUCUAAAAUUUCAUUGAUAUGAUUUUGUACAUUGGCCAAAUGACAAGAUAUUGGUCAUAAAUUUUGGAUUCUCUCCAACAAUUAGAUCAUAAUCUACUUAGAUAUUCUCCUUUUAUGGCAUUAUGGCCAAUGACCCCUCCUUCUUUGUCCUUAUAUACCCAAUAUUCUUCUCCAUUCUUACCAAACGAUUAGACUCAUAAUAUACCAGUAGCAAAAAAUGAGUUCAACAAGUUCAGCAUCCACCAGCAGCUCUGCAUUCACUGAAAUGUCAGCUAACAUUCCUAGUGAUAUUAUCUCUGAUAUUCUUACUAGACUGCCUGUCAAGUCUCUUACAAGAUUCAAGAGUGUAUCCAAGUCCAUGCUUGCAUUCCUUGGCAAUCCAGAAUUUGUUAAGCAGCAUCUCAAAAGAGCAAAUUUGAAGAACCCAAAUCUUGUCCUGAAGCAUGACUCCAAGCUUUUCUACGUUGAAGAUGAAGAAUGGAGCAAAGCUAGAAGGCUGCCAUUGCCCUUUUCACUGUGCCUAGAAAAAGUUGAAAUUUCUGGUUCAUGCAAUGGCAUACUUUGCAUUUCGGACCAACAGUGCAAUCAGGAUAUCUUUCUCUUGAAUCCCUCUACUGGGGUUUUCAAACACCUUCCGUUCUCGGGUUUCGAUAUCGCCGCAGUUGAGAACUCUUUCACCACGAUGGGGUUUGGUUAUCAUCAAGCAGAAGAUGAUUACAAGGUCAUAAGGUGUGUUUAUAUAUAUGAUAAGCCUUUUAUUGACAUUGACUCUUAUGAAUGUGAGGCUAGAGUCUACUCUUUGAAAGCUGGUGAGUGGAAGGAUAUUGGAACUAUCCCAUACCAUCUGGGCUAUAAAGCUGCUAUCUGGCUUGGCAAUGAUUUUCUUAUCUGGAAAGCAACUAUCGGGCUCGGAAGAACGGGGAGGUAUCUGAUAGUUUCUUAUGACAUGAGCAAAGAAGAGUUCAAGGAGAUUCCCCAGCCUAUUGUGAAUUAUAAUGAUGAACUUCACAUGGAGGUAAGUGUGUUUGAUGGAUUGUUAUCAACCUUCUAUCUUUCAAAAUAUGACGAGGCUCACAUUUGGUCCAUGAAAGAGUAUGGAGUGACGGAUUCGUGGGAAUUGCGGGUUGUGAUUAAGCUGCCUUGGAGAGUUGAGAACUACAACUAUAUCUUUUUGAAGCCCCUGACUAUUUUGAAGAAUGGUGAAAUCCUGAUCGAGGCAGGUGAAAAGGCAAGAAUUCUGCAUGAUCCUAAGAAGGAUAGCUACAGAAUCAUCAAUCCUAUUCGUGGAGUUCCUCGAAGAUUUUUAGUGACUCCUAUUGUGGGAAGCCUGGUUUCACCUUUUGAUUAUCAUCAGGGCUGAAAAGGGCAUGACCUAGUUGGGAUUUGGAAGUUAGUUAAUGGUUCAAGUAAGGGAUUAAUUUUAAUUAAGUUUCUUAAGCAUUUAAUUUCGUAAUUCGGCUGUCAAGGUUUUGAGUUUUUACUUAAUUUUGUAGUUUUAUAAAAUUUCUCAGUUUUGUAGAAUAAAGAUUUCCUCAUUACUUCUCAGAGCAAAACUUCCCCUCUCUAUUUCUCUCCGUGUGUGCGCAUCCCACAAUCAAUAGUUAGGCUAUCUAGAUUAGGGUCAAUUGUUAGUAAUUAGCUGUGUAUUGAGAGCUCCUCUUACAAUGGGGUAUUUUUUAAGCUUAAGUUCUUGAAAAAGAUGAUUUGAACCCGUAACCUCCUUGCAAACUCACUUUGUGUGUUUUAAAUCAAUUAAAAACCUGCAAGCUACAGACAGCCUUCCUAAUUUUUGUGAAUAUAAAGUAAAUAUUUCAUGGGCACGAUUAGGAUUUGAAAGAAAAUAGGAGAGUGCUGUGCUUCUUAUCAGAACCAGUCAGGAGAAGCUACGGCAGAAGGCAGCAGCAGAAAUCAAGAGGAAACAGCAGCAAAGAAUAAUCCAGCAGGAGGAAGUUUGCAGCAGUAGGUCGGUGCUGGAAGUCCUCGCGGGAGGGAUCUGGAGAGGUAUUAUAUGUGGCCGCAACAGCCUUGAAGACAGCAACCAAACUUGGCAGAACUAGGUCUCUGAAUCGAGGACUUCUGACUUCUGAGUGUUACAACUAUCUUAGAUUAGAUUAGGAUUAUUUUAUUUUCUAGCAAGUAGAAUCCUUGUUAUGCUGAGAUUUAAGACUAUAUAAAUAGCCAAGGAAGUAUUAAACAUUCAAUCAAGAAAUCAAGCGAUAAGCAAUAAAAUAAAAUACAACAUCGAUACACAUACAGUACUAGUAUACAAAAUCAAGCCUCAUUUGAAAGGCAAAAUUAAAAACUCACUAAAAAACUUUUCUAAAAUAAAUUUAUUUUAUAUUUUUAUCCCUUCUCUUGUUCUCGAGAAACAAAACAUUAAAUUAAAAACCUUGAUACACACAAACACGGAAUCAAAUCGAUCGAAACCAUUAUGAGUCUACCAGAGGAUAUACUUGCUCUCGUGUCAUGCCACUUACCUGUCAAGAGUUUGACAGCAAAAUUUUCAUCCAAUUUCACCUCAGCAAGUUUGACAGCAACUAUGUCCUUAACAUCAGCACGACAGAACUAUUUAUCUAUAUUAACGAAGAUUAAGAGAUCCUCUCUGUUACCAUCGGUUCUUGGAGUCAAACCAUAAAUGACGCAGCAUAAAGCAAAAGGUAGAAAUCUAGAGUUUUUCAUGCCUUAAAAAUUACAAUCCUAAACUAUAGAGAACUCAUAUCAAUUUGUAGAGUUUUUCAUGCCUUCAAAAUUUUUUAGGGACUUUGGAUCGUUCUUGGCUUUCUUAGCUAAAGUUCAAAAUUAUCUUCCAAAGCUUUAUCUCCACUUUUCAGAUUAUACAACAUUUUAAGUUCCACUUUCUUGGACUUACCACCCACUUACCCCCACACGUUGCUGCCACUUGACUUGCGCCUUGCUACUUACACCUUGCUAGCAUUACCUGCUUUCUUUCAUUAUCUGUACUCAUAGUGUUCGAUGAUCGAGAGUGAAUGUUUCGCCAAAUUUCACCUUAGAAACUCUGUCAAUAACAACACUGAACUCACCUCAUUCUUCAGGAUGGAAAGGUCUAUUAUGCUGCCCUUGGUUCUCGUUGCCAAACCAUAAAACUCAAAGCCCUACAGAGUGUAGGACCAGAAUAUUGGGCUCUUGCAAUGGUUUGCUUGGCGUUCGUCAACAGCCAGACAAAUACAGCCUACACAAACGAUCUGGGAAACAUUACCCAAGAUUGCAUUGUGGAACCCUUUAACCAAGAAAUUUGACAUCCCUCUCACACCUAUUGACUCUGUUAAAGUUGAAUAUGAAUGCAUUUGGACAUGAUUCGGCCAACGAUGACUCCCUUAGGUAGCAUUUGUUGACUAUCUCGAGACAGAAAAAACAAGAUAAUGAAGAUAAAGGAGAUAUGUUUUCCUGUUCUGAAAUAACUGAAACUCACUAAAAAACUUUUCUAAAAUAAAUUUAUUUUAUAUUUUUAUCUUCAUCAAUCAACCAAACACAUUUUAUGGAGAAGGCAUGAAUCGAGUAUCAUUGAAUUUAAUGUCCAAGAGAAGAGUUGUAGGGAAUUCCGACCGGUGAUGUUCUGAUAUUUGCUCAUUGGAGGCUAAGCACACUGACACAAUAUUUAACGUGGUUCGGCAAACCGCCUACAUCCACGGGAGAAGCCAUUGAAUUAUAUAGGGAGAGAACAAGAUUUACAACAAUAGAGGAGGAGGAAUCAUCCCCUCUUUGGCAACUCUCAACCUCACUCUAUUUCUCUCUUUUCAGUGCUGCAAUGGCAGCUACUGCUGGCUGCCUUGGCAGCCCACUCUCUCCUACAUCUCUCACAUCUUUGGCUCUACACACUCUCACUUUUCUCUCAUUUUGCUCUCUAAUGUAUGCCUCUAUUUAUAGGCAUCCAUGGCAGCUCCUCCAGCUCUUCUUCAACAAAGGUGGCUGCCAACUCCAGCUCUUCUUCAACAAUGGUGGUUGCACCUAGCAGCCCUCUUUGACAAUGAAAAUGGCAGCCAUCCUCUUCUAGAAGAUAGGCUGUAAAUGCUCUAUGAUUGCUGCACAUAAUGGCAACAAUCCUAACAAUCACCCCCUUUGCCAUUCAUGUGGGCAAUUGUCCUCUUGCUUCUUCAGCACAUGCUUGCAUUCUGCAGCUCUUCCAAGCUUACCAUUCCGAGAGCGUCUUUGGCCAAGUUUCCAGGUACUUGCCAAACCUUUCAAUCACCAGAGUCAUCCAAGCACCCCUUUGCUCACUCCAAAGGAUCACUUCAACCAGAUGGUUUGUCAUAUCUCAUCUGAAGAGUGUUUAACGCUUGUCUCUGGAACAACAUCCCCCUUCAAGCAUAUCAACCAUGCUUGGCCCGGAAUGAUUUAUCAAGCCUUACACCAAGGCUUACAACAUCCCCUCAAAAGGAUAUUUCCAAGUGCGACAGUCAUUGAGUAUUUUAAUGUGAUCACGAGCUCACCACUCUUCCAAGAGUCUACUCAUCCCGGAGUUGCGUCUGCCCUCUGUUCCUCCCUAGGAACCACGCCUUACUUCUCCGUGAGUCUCCCGCUCUUAGUCUCAAGAGUCCAGGUGGCUCUCCACCUUUAACCAUGGGGACAGCCCAUUAAAGGUUGAUCCAUCUCUAUCUUCAUACUCUGAGUAUUACAAUGUCAUUACUGAGCUCACCACCUUGACAAGAGUCAACUUGUUCCCGGAACCUGCGCAUGCCCUCUGCUCCUUCAUAGCAGUCGCGUCUUAAUGCUCCACAAGCCAUCCACUUAUUGUCCAAGGCAAAUGUCUUCUAGCUCAUUGAUCUUUAGCAUGGGGGCAAUAUCCAUGAAAGUCAAUCCUGCAUUUGUCUCCAUACUCAUCAUAGCCUCUUCAUUGGCUAUACACUUGUCCACUUAUAUCUAGCCAUCACAUUGGCUCUGGGGCGUUCUGAAAUUGGGCUCCUAUCAUGGCCCUCACACCUUCUCCUGAGGUGUCUCCGCCUGUCGUCAUGAGACGGUCUGAACAUGGACUCAUAUCAUGGUCCUCACACCUUCCAUCCGAGGUGUCUCCGCCUGUCGUCAUGAAGCGGUCACAUCCUCCUUCAUCGGGGAUGUCUCCAAUAGCUCCAAGAUUCUCUACCACCAUGUGGACUUGGGAGAGAUCACUGCCACUGAUCACAUAGAAAGAGAGAGUUGCGGUGCACUCUUCGCAAUCCUCCAUCUCAUUUUCUAUGUUUGGAGCUUUUAUGCCUUUCUGCUUGAUAGCUCCACCCACACCAACUCUCUUUGGUGUCUUCGCCUUUCAUCGGCGGUCGCACCCCCUUAAUUAGGUGCUUCUGCAACAGUUCAUCUUUCCAUCCUUGCAUGCAUUGGAAAGGUCCUCGCUUGUUGCCUUUAUCAAGAGCACAAGAGACUUCCUGUUGUACAACUUUUUCACACAGUCUCUGCUCUGAGCUUCAUCCGGGAACUCUUCUUCUCCUUGCAUCUGUUGUCUCAUUACAGUACCUCGUUGGAUCCUUCGGGUACUCCUGCACAAUCUUCGUGUGCUCUCGUGCAAUUUCAGUUCUCCAGAUUUCUCCCUAUUCUUUGCUUUUAUGUUUGACAGCAGCUCAUCCUGUCACAAUAUUUAUCCAAGUCAAAAUAGGGUGCCAAUCUUUAUCCCCUCGUGUAUUUCUCUUCCAUUAUCAGGGUCUUCAUCAAUUCUCCCUUCGAGAAAUUACAGUCACCGAAUCUACUUUGGAGAAAUCACCACUCCAUCAGAUCCUUGAACAUACGGAACCCAACUGUUCCUGUGUGCCGUCAUCUUGCUAGUCUUCAACAGUUUCAUUACAAACUGUUACAUAUACAAAAAUAGUACUGUGUGGAUGAUCCUUCAACUAAGCAAGUUCCCAGGAAAGAUUUGGAGGGGUCACACUGGUCCCGCUUAAAACCCAAUCUCCUAGACAGAACUUCUUAGAACGUAUCUAUCCACCGUACUGCCUUUUCGUAUAUACAACCAUUUGCUAGCUUUGUUGCGGCUUUCCUUUACAAGUGAUCUGGGGUAUCCCGGUUUUAUACCUGAUUUCUCAACAUCUGGCGAGACUACCAGUUCUUAGAUUCGUCAAGAUUGGUCUUCAUCAAUUUCCACUCUCCACCUCAAAUCGUCCACAUGAUCGGGUGUCCAGAGUAUCCCAAUUUUGCCUUCCUUCAAGGCAAUUAAAAUUUCUCUCCACUUAGCAGUUCAGCACAUGUAAUUGGGAAAACAUGUGCACUUUCAACUUCUUCAUCUCCAUCGACCACCAUGAUGACCUUUAGAUGCCUCCUAUCGGGCAAUCUCUUUUGUUAAUUCACCACCACCACUUUCGGUCUCAAUCUCAAUGAUCGGACCGUACCAUUGCAUCCGGAACGAUCAAAUUAGCUGGACACAAGUCUGAAAUCGUCCAAAUCGCAUUUCAGAUGGCUAAGAUUUGAUCAAAACAAUUCUGGCCUGAUGAAUGGCCCAGAUUCAAUCUCAAAUCCGGUUGCACAUAGACUCUGCUGCACAGAAUCUUAUCCCUCGGCUCGCGGCUCGGCUCGGCUUCACAACGGCUCGGCUCAACUCGGCUUGACUUGGCUCGGCUCGCGGCUGAUGAUGUGGCAGGUGGGUCCCACUUUGCUGACGUGUCUGCUGACUGGUCGAUGAUGUGGCUGCUGACAUGGCAUACCUACUGUGCAUGCUGACAUCACAAUUAUGCCAUGCUGACGUCAUUAAUAUCCGGGUCAGCCAUGUGGGUCGGGUCAACUGGUAUUCGGGUCGGGUCAGCCCAUCCGGGCGAAGAAGACGCGUGGGGCGCGUCUGCGCGCGUAGGCAGACGCCUUGCCGGAGAGUGAUGGAGAGUGCGGCCAUGUCCGACGUUCGAUUUUGACGCCGUUUUCACCAGUGGCUUCGUCUCUUCCUCCUCGACACGGUGGUAUGGUCAAAACUCAAUUUUGACAACUUUCAUUUUUUAGCAAAAAUCAAACACCACUUCAAACCAUAUGCUCUGAUACCAAUUGUAGGGAAUUCCGACCGGUGAUGUUCUGAUAUUUGCUCAUUGGAGGCUAAGCACACUGACACAAUAUUUAACGUGGUUCGGCAAACCGCCUACAUCCACGGGAGAAGCCAUUGAAUUAUAUAGGGAGAGAACAAGAUUUACAACAAUAGAGGAGGAGGAAUCAUCCCCUCUUUGGCAACUCUCAACCUCACUCUAUUUCUCUCUUUUCAGUGCUGCAAUGGCAGCUACUGCUGGCUGCCUUGGCAGCCCACUCUCUCCUACAUCUCUCACAUCUUUGGCUCUACACACUCUCACUUUUCUCUCAUUUUGCUCUCUAAUGUAUGCCUCUAUUUAUAGGCAUCCAUGUCAGCUCCUCCAGCUCUUUUGUCAACAAUGGUGGCUGCCAAUUCCAGCUCUUCUUCAACAAAGGUGGCUGCCAACUCCAGCUCUUCUUCAACAAUGGUGGCUGCACCUAGCAGCCCUCUUUGACAAUGAAAAUGGCAGCCAUCCUCUUCUAGAAGAUAGGCUGUAAAUGCUCUAUGAUUGCUGCACAUAAUGGCAACAAUCCUAACAAGAGUUUUGUACGGUGCCACUGCCUAUUUUAGAAGGUUCUGCUUGUUCCAACAGGAAUUUGGGCGUCCUGGACAAUGCCUUCGCUUAAAUUCUACUCGUGUCAUUGGAAACAUUGACAUAUGGGUGAUGAAGGAAAGCUGGAGAAGACAACCACAGAUUUUCUUGGCGUUCUUGUAAACCUGGACAGAAGGCUCACCCAAGGAGACUUGUGCAUAGUAGGAACCAAUUGUAAUUAUCAAUUAUGUGUUGUUGUGAGACUAGUUGAUUACAAAAUCGAGGCUUUAUAGCUACUACUAUUCAUGUGAUAUGUUGAGAGAUUUAGAAGCAAUCAUUUUAAAGAAUUCUGGAGAUGGUGCCAUUGAGUAUAUAAGGUUGCUCAUGGACUUAUCGACAUUGUUGUGGCAAUCAGCAUUGAAAAACCUCAUUAGCAUGAUCACAUUCUUUGGGAUGGAAUUUGAUCAUUGCUACAGUCAGGGGUGGAGACAGGGUGGCAAGUGGGGCUCAGGCCCCUGCAAAAGAAAAAAACCCAUUAAUCAUAUGCCUUCUUAGAAGAAGAACAACCUUAAAUUUUAGGACCAAAAUUAGUAAAAGUAUCCUAGCUCUGCCCUUAAAUAUAAUAAUGAUAGAAUUUCUGAUAAUCAUGGUCUGAUUGCUCUCUUUCAUAGAUAUAUUGUUAUAAAGCUAAUGUCUCUUAUAUCAUUUAUAAACAUGAAAAUAAGUAAAUUUUUUUUAUUAAUUAAUUUGCUCAUCAUAUUGAUCAUUGUAUCCAUGCUGAAAACAUAAGCAUUCUAAACUUUACAUUUGUAAUUUGUUUCCCAUCCUUUUGGAUUGUAUAAAUCUUAUGAGAAGAUCUCAAUACCAUGAGCCCAAUUCCAAAGGUCAUCAAACACUAUUACCCAAAAAAACCAAACCAAGAUAGAUAAUAUAUAAGAGUGAUAUUCUAAUUUCUUCAAAAACUAAAAAGAAAAAUUGGAAUUUCAUGUUAAAAUUCAAUAUUCUUCCAUCCAGAAAAUUGAAAAACUAGUUUUAAAAGUUAUUCAAAGUUCUUCAAAACAAGUUUUUCACUUUUUUUUUCAAAUAAAAAAAUAUGAAGAAUACAAUUUUUUUCUUUUUAUAUACAAGCGAUUUUAUCAAUGUAAAAGAUUAAAAUUAUAUAUAUAUAUAUAUAUAUAUAUAUAAGUUAGUUUCAUAAACUUGAUUUUUAAUUUAAGUCUAAUAUAAAGAUUUUUUUUGAAAUAACAAUAUAACUUUUCCAGAUAAUUUUUAAUUUGAAUGAAAUAAAAUUAAUAUAUUACAAUUAAAAUAUCACAAAUAUAAAGUUUUAAGAUGACAAUUAUAAAUGUGAUAAGUGAAAAAAAAAAUAUAUAUAUAUAUAUAUAUAUAUAUAUAUAUAUAUAUGUUUUUAUUACUUUUACACUAUGUUUUUUAAUGUGUUUUGAGCUUAACUUAACUUACUGGAAGUUAUUUUUAUGAGUUUGACAUGACUAAAAGAUUUUAUGAAUUAAUUGCUAAAAGAUAAGAAUUUCUGCAUUUUAUAUUUCGAACCAUGUUUAUUGUGAUAGGUUUUUCAUCGAGUUUUAAUUUCAGAAUGUGAACUGUGGUUGAAUGAAAGUUAAAAUACACAUAUCAAGCUUUCUAGGAAUGUAUUAUGGGCAGAAAUCCGAGUUUGUUUGGACCUUUAAUCAGACUUGCAAAAUCGGACCAAAAUUCUACUUGCAGCAGAAUUUUCUGCUUUCACACUACAUAUUCAAACGAACAUAUCUUAUGUCUAAGAUAUUGAAAUCAUGUCAUUCAAAAGCCCAAAAUCAUUGACACAUCCAGAACUACAAUUUUUAUGUUGAAUGUCAAGUCAGAUAAUUUGUUUUUAAAGGUGAAAAGCCAGAUGCAAGCUGAAAGAUGAAAUUAGUCUCCUAAUUUGAUGAAAAAACUAACGGUGAGAGUUCUAUCCUGAGAAGGAAUCUAAGGGGAUUAGAAGAAUUGUUUUAUAAAGCCUUUAACUCAUAGUUUUCAGACCCGGCCCGGUCCAAGGCCCGGGUUUUGGGUUUUGAUCGGGUCACCAAAUCAUCCGAGUCAUUUUUAAAAAAAAUUAAAAUGACAUCGUUUUAGUAAAAAAAAAAAAACAAAUGUCAACGGGUUGCAACCGGGUUUUUGAUCGGGUCUUGCCGGGUCAACCCGCCAGGUCAGCUGGGUCACACUUGGUUUUUUCUUUCCCUAUUUUUUCUUUAACCCGGCCCGGUUCCAGCCCCGGGUCGACCUGUCGGGCCGGACCGGGCUUCAAAACUAUGCUUUAACCUCUUUAUUUUUAGCCUUGAUCUUAUCAUGAAAGCUAUCUACUAAGAUAAAAAAAAAAAAAUUAGGGAAAAACCAUGUGAAUUUGAUUUUAUAUGAAAAAUAAUUGUAAUUUUAAUGUAUUAUUUUUUAAGUGAAAAAUUUAUCUUUAUUUUUAACAAAUGAAUUUGUUUUCUAAUUUUCAUUGAAAAAUAGAAAUUAAAAAAAAAGAAAAAAGAAAUAAAAUGUUUUCGGUAACUAAACACACCUGAAACUAUACACGUGGCAACUUAUAAUUUGUCAUCUAAUCAAAACUGAAAACUCUGCGUUUUAACAUCUCAGCUAUGGUGAAAGACAGAAAUACCACGGAUCUAUUCCCACAAAGACACUCACAUCCCUUCACCUGCGAUAAAAACCAAACUGAUCAAUACACGGAGACCAGAACCAAAGAACAAAGACAACAUUAAUCACUCUAAAGAUCAAAAUUUUGUUUCUGGUUUUGGUGUGGUCCAAUCAACAAAUCAAUGGCAGAAGAUCUAGUGUUAGACACAGCUAUAAGAGAUUGGGUACUGAUCCCAUUAACAGUGGUGAUGAUUCUUAUUGGGAUUCUUCGUUACUUUGUUUCAAAGCUUAUGCGAUCUCAGCAAAACCCAGAUGCUAAAGUUGUUAGAGAAGGGUAAGCUAUCAAAAACCCAGGUCAAAGAAUCUCUGUUAAGUGCUAAAGUUUGUCUCUUUUUGGGAUUUAUAUUGUUUUUUGUGCUGGUUUUGGUGUAUUUUUGCUAGUUAUUGAAAACCCAUGUCAUGAAUUCUCUGUUUAGUGCUAAAUUCUGUUUAUUUUUGUGAUUUUUGAUGGUUUCGGCGAUUUAUUUUUGUACGUUAUUGAAAAACAACGAAAAUCUAGAUUAGUGUUAAAGUUUGUUUCUUUUUGUGAUUUUGUUGCAGGCAAGUUGUUAUAAGAGCUAGGAACUUGCGAGCUGGAGCUAACUUUAUACCUUCCAAGUCUUUUCGAGCACGAAGGGCUUAUUUUAGCAAUGAGGUUUUGAUUUAUUUUUAUUGUUUUUGGUUUGUUUGAUUUUGGGUGAUUGAAUGUUGGAUUUGUUUAUUAUUUGUGGAAGUAUCUAAAUUGGUUAUGCUUUGUGGCUAAUUUUGUGCUAGUGUAAUUGUAAAAGAGAUUUGGGAUUCAGUGGAUUCUGUGGUUAGUUGUGGUGUAUUUCUUAAAGCUGGUUGAAGCUGAAAUUCUGAUUGAUGGUAAACUUGAAAUAUAUUUUCUUAAAUUUCCAAAUAGUUUUGACAUGAUUCAUAUUGAUUUUUAUGAGUUAGAUGGGUUUUGGAUAAAUGCCAGGUUGCCAUACUUUGUUUGUGCUCCUCAGUUUUGAUAUUUCAGAGCUUUACUUAGGGUGCAUAAUCCUGAUGCUAGCUUGAAGUUUUCAUUUUUAGAAGGUCAGAUGCUAAAUUGAAAGUUUAUUCUUUUUUAUUAGGAAAAUGGAUUAUUGCAUGUUCCUAAGGGCCAAGGUCAAAAUCCACAAGCACAAAUGUUCUCCGACCCAAAUAUGGCCAUGGAUAUGAUGAAGAAAAACCUUUCUAUGAUUAUACCCCAGGUAUUAACUGUUCAAUAGCUUUUUGUCGUUCUCUGACAUGUCUAUUCAAACAAGAUAAUUGACUUGGUGGUUUCUUAUUUUUUCCUGCUGGCCAGACCCUUACCUUUGCAUGGGUCAACUUUUUCUUCUCUGGAUUUGUUGCAGGUUAGUUUUCUUUCUUUCUUUUUUUCACUGUUUUUAGCUUUUUGAUUCUUAAACUAUGUUUUAUGUCCUUGAUACCUUACUAUGGAUUAUCUGUACAUUUAAUACUCUUAUAUAGAUAAUAUAUAACCUUUUUCGAUAAUUUGUACUCGAUUUGAUCUUUACGACUUUGUUAAUGAUCUCUUAUUCCCUGCAGCCAAGAUACCGUUUCCACUGACUCAGAGAUUCAGAUCAAUGUUGCAAAAUGGGAUUGAUUUGAGCACCGUGGAUGUUAGCUAUGUCAGCAGUCGGUCAUGGUAUGUCUGCAUUUAUGAAUGAGAAGUUGUACUUCAAAAGAACUGUUGAAAAGCUUUUUCUAGAGAAUUUCUGGACAUUUGCCUAGUUUAAUAACUCUAAUUAUCCACAAUCACUUUCUUUUGCAGGUAUUUCCUUAAUUUGUUUGGAUUAAGGGGUUUAUUUAGUCUCAUUCUGGGUGAAGAAAAUGGUUAGUAUUAUUUUAUAAAUUUUCAUGGUUAUAUCUAUUUUGACUGAGAAUCUGCAUGCUGCUUGCUUCUCUUGCAAAAUCGUUGGUGCAAGAAUCUAGAAGCAUGGAUUAGAGUCUUGCAUACUUUAGGAUUUCUGGAUUUACUCUCUCUAGAUGCUCAAAUAUGAUAUUUAUAAUGCAGCCAUGGAUGAUACACAGCGUAUGAUGCAAAUGAGUGGUUUUGGUAUGGAUCCAACAAAGGUACAAACUUAACUGGUUCUCUAUUGAGCAUUUUAGCUUGAAGAAUUUAAACUGAUGCACAUGAUCUUCUUGAACAGAUUUAGUUAUUAAUAACGUCCUUGAUACAUCAAUUGCAAUAUGACUGUUAUUAGUCAAAGAAAUCCCUUUGUAUGUUGAUUUGCUGGUUUCUAUUUUACUGUCCUAAAUCUAACUUUGAGCCAAGGUUGCGCCCCUGCCACUGGGACACCACAGCUUUUUAGUUAAGUAGCAACUGUUUAUUUCAUUGUGCUACUAUCACUGUAUAGAAAGAAUCAAAGGAAUGAUACAUCUUUAUAAUUCUGUCAUGCACAAAAUCUUUAGAUUCAGUGGUUUUACUAGCACCUCAGAUCUGAAUAGAUAUAUGGUUGAGAGUUGAAUCAAGCUGUCCUGUUUGAAAUGCUAGUUGGACCAUCUUAACUACUGCAUGUAAGUCUUAUUAUUUCAAUGAGUAAAAGAAAUGAAGAAACUGUUUGACCAUAAGCAAGUUGGAGAGUUCAAACAUUUAUAAGUACAACUAAAAUUUGAACCGGUGAUUUGGUGCUGGAGGCAACAAGUGUCUAUCAAGUACCAACUAAGCAAGACCAUCAAGUCUUUUUAUGAGUUCUUGAUGGGGUUUGAAGGACUCAUUAGAAGUAGAUCGCUUCCAUAUAGACUCGCUGCGAGCACUGGUGCUGGUGUUUAGGUAACUGGCACAGGGGUGGAUUCUUCAUUGUGUCUUGCCUGUUGUCAACGUCGUCUGUAAAUACCAUAUGAUGUCUGGGUCAUUAAUAGCACCUUUUCAUGUUAUAUCAGCUGCAGGCUUUGCCUAUCAUAUUGAGUGUUUUUGUGUUCCAGUUAGCUAAACUGUCUGUUAUGCAGCUUGCCUUUUUUCUCCUUAUGUUUUUCCCUUCUGGGAAAAAGCCAAUAUUUAGAUUUCUAUGAACCCCCUGUUAUCAAAUGGUUUGGGGGCAAAGGAAGUCCUCCUAUCAUUGAUAUCGGUUCUUAGAUUUCUUUAUAAUAGAAUUAGCUAUGAACCCCCUGUUAUAUUUCAGAAGUUGUUGAUAAACAAAGAGUAUACUGUGUCUAUUUAAAGGUUUCAAUAGGCACUUGAAAUUGACUCAUAUUUUGUGAUAAAUAUGUAAAUUUCAUCUACCAAGAGAUUAGUGGUCUAUAGAGCUCGUUUUGUUAUCAAAUGUUCCUUCAAAUAAUAAAGCUCUUUGCUGUCACUAGUGGGCUGUGAUUAGACUGAUUUGAUUGAUGGAUUGUAAAAAGGAAUAUUGCAGGUAGGAAUCUUUAAGUCAGUGAGUAAUAGAGAUGACAGCCUAGAGGUUGCCUCUGGCCUGCUUAAUUUACUCAGUACUGGUCCUAGGUUUGCCAUGUCAGGUUGGUUUUGGUCAGCUGUGGAUUAAUGCAUGUCUGGCAACUUAAUAAUAAUAUGAGGUCCAUUGUACAGUUAGGCCUUGCUUGGUUCAGGAGAAAGGGUGGUGAACAAGAUUAUGUCUCUUUCCGUUCACUAUUUGGCUAGCCUCUCUUUUGGCUGCUGCCAUCAUUUUGCUGCCCUGGUCAAUCUUUUGCUCUUCAUGUGGCAGCUGUUAUGCUAUUUCUAAGUUUGUGUCAUAGGUAUACAUGAUUAGGCAUGUGGGGCUUUUCAUGAAGCUUACUUUAAUUCGUUUUAAAUUUGCUAAGCAUGUCAACAUAAUUACUAACUAGCUUUUCUGAGCAGCAUUGGCUUGCUUUUCUUCACUGCUUUAGAAAUGUCUCUUGCACGUUUAGGGGUUUGAUUUGUAACUGGUGAGAAUCUUUCCAAUGGGACCCUGACAGACAGUUGACCCUGUUUUUGCUAGUUGAAAUUUAGACCAGGAAUGGCAAAUCUGGAAAGGUGUGAAUAUAGCAUUACAUUUUCCAAAGGUAUUGGAAUUGUUGGGGCUGAUUUGUACUUUAUAAGAUCAAAAUUAAAUUUAUUUGGCAAGAUGUUCACUGGCCUUGCUUUGUAAUCAGUUAAAUGCAUGGUUGCAGUAUGAGAUGUCCUAAUAGAGAGAAUUUAGGACUCUAUAACUUCUCUUUCAUGUUCUUAACUCGAUAAAUGCCAUUUGUAUGUAUAAUGUUGAGCAAAAACUAUUGACUUGUAAUCUUGUCUAUUUGCGUUCUCCUCAGAACUUGAGUGCUGAGAAAGACGGCCUUGACAUAAUUCAGCAUGAAUGGGCCCUACCAAAAUUUGAGCAGCGUGCUGAAGCAGCGCUGAAAAAACUUCUCAGCUGAACAUUGUCAACAGGAGUCAGCUGCCACACGAGUUUCUGCUCGACGAGGCUCCCCUGUUCUUUCAUGGAUUCUUACUGGAAUUUUGCUCACUCAAUGGCUGCAUGUUGGCAAGAGUUUUAACAAUUAUAAGAGCCAGUGAAUCAUCAUUGUGGUAUUUAGAUUGAAUACUAGUUUUUAUCAUAACCAUUGGAGAAAUUUUCCACACUGCUGGUGGUAAUAACGUGCUUUCCCUGUAAAAUUGCGCGACGCCAGUCUUUCAGCAUGCUAGCCAAGAGCAUUUGCAGCAUAUAUAUUGGCAUGCAAUCAAAUCAAUUACUAGUAAUGUGAUGACGCUCAAUUUUUUAGGCAAUGCUUAAUCUUUGUAUCUUUUCCAUCUUUUUUCUGCGAUUGGACGAACCAAUAACGCCUUUAUCUAGUGGGCUGAGCAAUCCGAUGUUUUUCUCUCUUUUUUUCUUGAGGGUUUAGUGUAUAUUACUUGAUAGUCAUCAUAUAUGGUGGGAACUUUAAACGAUUCAAAAGCUAAACAGAUUCAGCUAAGCUGACAUUCAACAUUGGUGGAAACCUAUGUAACUUUUAAUGUGGAAACUUAUGCUAAUUGGAACCUUCCUUUGAUGUAUCCUGUCGGAGCCAUCCUGCUCUUUUAUUAACACUUUAUCUGCUGACCAGGUAGAUUGCCAAGUUAUAGCAGAAAAUUUAGCAGCGUAAAUCAAUCCCUGGGCCACUCUCGAAAUGGAGGUCCCUCUCAAGCUGGACGUUCCAUUCACUGGAGCAAUUAUUUAGUUCAUUACUGUGCUCUUAUCUUUUGAUUCAUCAAGUUACGUUUUGGUUGUUAUUUCAGAAACAUAGACAAAAAUAAAUAUAUUUUUAUUAUAAUUUUGGAGUGAGUUUUCUCCUAGAGAACCAUGUCAUCUCUGUUAUUUUUUUUUUAUCCCAAACAAUAAUCAGACGCUGCCUAGAAGAUUUGUUGAAUCAUGAGAGAAGGAAGAGCUGCAAGUCUCUAAACUUAAAAAAAAACCUGUGUCCAGAAGAAGCUGCUUCUUGACUUCUUACUGAUAGCUUCCUAUAUAUCGCGUGCUUGGAAGAGUUGUACGCUUGUGUCAUGCGUACAACUACCUGAUAGAAAGUUUCCUGAUAUGGCAUUGAAAGUCUGUUUGAAAAUUGCUUAUACCAACCUAAUUGGAAUCUUAGCAGCCAAAAAAACAAAAGGUAAUUAUAGCAGAUAAGACCCAAUAUACUAUUGAAACUCUCUCUCUCUCUCUCUAAUCAAUGCCAGGCUUGCCUGGCCUUAAUGGUGCACACAUGCAAAGGAAAGCAUUUUAAAGGGAGGGAAUUAUUGUUUAAGGAUAUUAGUAUUAUUUGUCUAUCUAUCAAAAAUCCGGUUAGAUUACUGACACAGAUAGUAUGAGAAUAAAAAAAACAUAUUUUUCUGUAUUUUCUGGUUUAAAAAUAUAAAAAUUCAUUUUAAAUCUCAAAUUUAUGAAUAUCUAAUAAAACAUGUUUUUAUUUUUAUUUUUAUAUUUAUGUUUUUAUAUGUUAUACAAUGCAUGUUCAUUAGAAUGCUCAUGUAAUUACAAUAUUACAUGAAGAACAAGAAGCCAUUUAGUUAUUCCACGAUGUUCAGAGAUCUGAAAAUAUGUAAUUAUAAAAGUACAGUUUAACUGAUUAUAUUUUAAAAUUAUUUUAUAGAAGUUAUCAGUUCGAGUAUUAUAAAUCUCAAGAUUAUUAAAGAAUUUCAUAAUUGUUAACUUUAGAACCUCGAGAGAUUAAUCAAAAUAUAAAUAAGCUAGUCUGGAUACCUACAAUUAAAAAAAAAAUCCAAGUGCAAUCCAUGUUCCUAUUUGUUGAAAGAAUGGUUAACGGCUCAAAAUCUCAUGGGUCCCAUUUUCAGGAUACCUAUCAUCCUCCCAUCUUUCCAUCAACUUUUCUUUUCUCACUUUACAGUGUGUGCAUGUACAUGGGAAAUGCAACCCUCCUCUUAUUCUAUUCUAUACUAUAAUUUAAUUUCUCUGACGUUCAACAAUAAUGUUAUUAAACUUGGCGGAUCAAUUCAUUCAUAUGCUUAGUUUUAGACCUAACCCAGUUGAGUUUUAAAUAGAACUAACCUUGUCAAAUUUGAUGGAUCAAAAUAUAAAUUUAUAAUCUUGUUAAAACCUAAUUUAUAUUUAAAAAAAUUAAAAUGACUUUGUUUUUCUUUUUUUUUAAAAAAAUCUUGAAAAUAUAUCAUUUUAGAUUAAUAUAAUAAAAUAACAGUAGAAUACAUCAAUGAUUUACUUGAUGAAAAACCCACAUCUAAACAAUAUUCUCUAAUGUCACGAAUUAAAGAAAAGUAUUAAACUUAAAUAUACAUAGCAAGUAAUAAAGCAAAAUACAUGCAUGGCCAACAUCAAUCCUGGAUCUAUAGUAAUACUAUAUAAUAUAUAUAUAUAUAGAGCUAGUUUGGAAUGCGCUGCUGGCAGUGUAUUUUCAAAGUUUUUGAGAUUUUUUAUUUAAAAUUGAUUUUUUAAUAUUUUUAGAUUAUUUUGAUUUAUUGAUAUUAAAAUACAAUUUUAAAAAUAAAAAAAAUAUUAUUUAAAUAUAUUUCUAAAUAAAAAAUAUUUUAAAUAAUAAUAAUAAUUAUUAUAAUAUAAUAAUAGGAGUGGUGUCCAACAAUAGACACUGUGGUUUAAUGGCAGCUCCUCGAUAGGGUACAAGAUGAUGAAUUGUCAUGCAAAAUCUCAUAAUGACACUUUUCAAGCUGCAAAUAUAGAUAUGUCUGUCCGUCCAUCAUUUCUUUCUUGCAUUUACAUGAGACUCACAUAUUCGUUAACACCAACUUUUAUGGUCUUUUAACCACCAAAGUCGUCUCUUUUUUUUUUUUUUUUUCAAAGUACCAAAGUUUUCUAAGCUUCUUGAUCACCAUGGAUAUGAAUUUCUAUUAAGAUGUGAGAGUUUUAAUUUUUUUUCUUGUUUCAAAAUUGACCUUUUCCUUCUCUCGUUUUAGAUUUUGAAUGUAAUUUAAGUUGUUUUAAAUAUAUAUUAUUUUAUUUUUAACUAUUCAAAUACAAUUUUGUUAUUGUCCCGAGACCCAAAAUAAAAUGAAUACUAUCGAGUCGGGUGAAUUCAAUAAUAGAUGUCUGUUGGCAUUCCAACCUUCCUUCUUUUUCUUUUUUUAGAGUCUAUCCGUAAGAGAAUCCAAUGCUUCUUGGUCGUGAAUAUUUGAAUAGAACAAACCGCUCCGUGAAUAUUUUUAUUUCAGGACAAAAGAAUUAGAAUUAGAUCCGAUUAACUGGAAUGUAUAUAUUAUAAUUAAAAUUAAAAAAAUAUAUUUUUUUUAUAAAUUUAUUCUAAAAUUAUCACAGAGAUAUUUAUUUUAGAUCCUUGUCUCUAUCUUUCUAAUCAAUUAUGUUUUUGUUUUUUAUAUUUACAUAUUUUCUGCUUUUAAUGCUAAUAAAAGCAAUAGAUUAUACAUAUACAUAAUGAAUUUAUAAAAAAAAUAUUUUUUCCAACUUCCAUAAGGUGAAGAUCAUAGAUGAUACUAAACUAAAAUCUUUUUACAAAAACAAAUUGCAAUAUUUGCAAGACAUGGAUACAGUGGCAAGUACCUUUUUAUUUUUAGGUUUUUGAGAAUUGAGGAGGGGUGGUUUGGAAUUAUAUGAUUUGGGGGUGCUCGGUAUUGAGAAAAAUCUAUAUUUUGAAAAGACAUGAUCAGAUCAGUGACUGUGAUCAAGCGUGGCAAAUCAGACGGCUGAAAGUGGGUCCCAACACCACGAGAGCCCUACCUGGAAAGCAUCUACACGUUGGCCCACCUAAAGCUCCAUCUUUAGAAAGGUCGGUUCCCAAAGCUAUUUAUCAACACAUUUAUAUACAUCAAUCGAGGAAAAAGUAAAACAAUGGUCCAUCCAUGGUACUUUCUUUUAGUCACCAUAAUAAUUUAUUCAUAUAUAUAUAUAUAUAUAUAUAUAUAUAUAUAUCGUGAAUCUAUUUAAACUAGCCUAUUUUGCAAAGUUAUUUUACAUAGUGCUUAAUGAAUUAAUUCAAUAUUCAAGUUACGAGUUAGAUAAAAUAAUUAGAAUUGAUUUAAAUUAAUUAGUGUGGUUUUAACCUUUUUUUUUAAAUUAAAAUAAUAUUAUUUUAAAUUUUUUUAAAUAAACUAAACAAGAUUCUGACAAUAUCAAGAAUUAACCAAGUUUAACCGGAUAAACAUGUUAUUUUCUAUUAUAAUGAUAAUAUAUAAAUAGAAUAAAUUUUACUUUUUCAUAAUAAACCUUUCAAUUAAUUUUACUUCUUCAUCAUAAAUUUCUUAAUUUGGAUGCGUGAAUAACUUAUUUCAAUCAGAUUAAGAACAUAAACUUAAUUUCAAUAUAAAAACUUCAAUGAAAAUAUUACCAUCAAAAGAUUGGAUUAAAAAAAAACCAUAACAUCAAAAUUGUUUCAAUAUUAUUUUUUCCUAGUGGGACCAUCCAAGAGAGGUCAUUUGAUAACAAUGAUCAUAGUUGGUGAUUGAAGGCCCCAUUUAAGGCACCGGCCUAGACACCAUUGUUGGCUUUCGCUUGUCUCCACGCCCGUCCUUACAUUGUGAAAUUGUUUUAUGGUUUAAAGAAAGUGAAAAGCUAAAAAAAAAAAAAUACCUUAAAAAUAGCAAAUUAUUUGACCACAACAGUGAAAAGUAGUCCUUCAUUAUUGUUUACAUACACAAAAGGUGCCAUGAAUUAGCCUUUCUUUAGCCUAUUACUGUGAUUAUAUGUGUAGGUAGUAGGUACCCAAGCUCCCACCAUUUUUAUUUUAUUUUAUUUUCGAUAUUGGUUCAAAAAGAAGUUGGGCACCAUUAGUUUCUGUAUUUAGAAAAUUAAUUAGAAUACAAAUUACAUGGAAUUUUUUUUUUUUUUAUAUAGUGAAUUUUAUUUUUUUUUAUUUUAUUGGUGAAAAUAUUUGAAGUUGAUUUUGGUAUAUCAAGAUUAAAUUCUAUCGAAUUUUGAACAAGUUAAUUAUUCAUAUUUAAAUCAAUAUAUACACAUCUAAAUUUUUUUUGAUAUGUUUAAAAAUAUUAAUAAAAAAAAUCAUAUGUGCAAAAAAUUUAAAGCAAGCAAACAAACAAACAAAAGGGUAAAACUUGUCUCUUGAUUGUACUUAAUUAGAAUCUUUGAAAAUAAACAAAACAAUAAUGUACAAGAUUUGCAUUCAACUUGCUUGGGUGGCUCUUGAUGUUCUCAUAUGGCAAAAUCAUUUUGUACAAACAAAUAUAUUGCUUGGCAUGUGAUUGUGUCAAAACAUAUUAAAUUGUGUUUGUCAUGACAUGUACGCCACUCCAGGUUUUGAUGAUAAUGAAGACUAGCAGUUCCAAGAAAAAAGCCUUAAUUCAUGAAACACCAUUUGUCUUUUAGGUUUUGCAAAAGCUAAAUCAUAUACCAUUUCUUUUAGUAUAUAAUCUUACUAAUUAUAGGGUUGAUUAGAAUGUUGAGUAGCACGCGAGCUUAUCAAUUUUUUUUAAUGUACAAUAUAGAUGUUUAUGCCAGUCAUUUAACUUGACAAUAUUCAAUAACAUCAAAUAAUAUAAUAGUCUGAUUUAAACUAUAGAAAACAAUAAUAAAUGAAUCGUACAAAAAAUAUUUGAUAGCAAUUAACUAAAACAAAUAAAAUGCUAAUAUCAUACCUAAAAGGAGAAUAAAAAAAAUCGCUAGAAAUAAACUUAAUAAAAACACUAUUUAUAUCCACAAUAAAUUGUAUCUAGGUGAACAACAUUUUCUCCUUUUUUUUUCAGUGCAUGACAUUAAAAAAAACCUGCAUGGAUCGAUAGAGCAGCAUUGCAGGAAAAAAGAGAGGAAGGAUACUCAACCAAUCAAUCUUAUUUAACUCAAGAAUAAAAUUUAUCUAAAUAUAAAUUUAAUAAAAAAUAUUAUUUAUAUCCACAAUGAAUUGUGUCCAGGUGAACAAUGUUUUCUCCUUCUUUUUCAGUUUUUUUUUUUAAAAUUGUUUUUCCUAUAUGGCUUGGUUGCAUCUUGCACCCGAUUUUCAUUAUAAAAAAAAAUAUAAUGAGGUGAAUUUGAUUUUAAUAUACUUUUUAUUUUUUUGUUUGAUGGUAAAUAUAUUUUUAGACUAACUUAUAUGUUAACUGAAACUAAGUCUACUAUUGAACAUUUUAAGUAUAUUAUCGAACAUUUUAAGAAUAUUUCUCUUAUAUCAAUCUGGUGUGUGAAAGCGUGUUUGGCAUUGCGACAACGGUUGAUUUCAAAGUGAUUUUUGCUUGUAAAUGCAUUAAAAUAAUAUUUUAUUAUCAUUAUUAUUUUUGACACCAACAUAUUAAAACGAUCUCGAAACAUUAAAAAAAUAAUUUAAAAAAAUUUAAAUUAAAAAAAAACUGCAUUUAAAACACUAAAACAAAUUAAACAUAUUCAAAAUAGAAACAACUCAACUAAGAAAAGAAAAAAAAAUGAAGAAUUCUCUUCAAAACAAAUAUCAACAUGAUCAACACAGUUAAUUCGAUCCAAAAAAGGAACCAUUCUAUGAAGAAAAAAAAAAAAAGGGCAAGGUUAGGUUAUAGUACAAAUUAACAGAAAAUCAAAUAGAAAUCCUAUACAAAACAUGAAUGCAUUACAUGAUCUAGGCAGUAAUUAACCUACAUUAUUAUGCCCUCUUAGAAAAUAAGAACACAUGGGAACCCACUCAAAAGAAAGGUAUGGUGCUGAUAUAUGAAAUGGCCUCCACCAUUUGGAUUGCCAAUUCAUAUUUGAUUUUAAGUAUUUGUCAAUUCCAUCAAUUAAAAUCAUAUAAAAAUUAUAAUCUCAAUCAUACUUUAUAUGAAAAAAGAAAUAACAUAUUUACAACUAGCAAGACAUGCUAAGGUGUCUUGUCAGCAAUAUGAGGUGUCAAGUUGAAAGAUUCUCCAAGUGAGCAUGCUCCCUAUGAUCUCAUGCUCUCAUUCUUUAAAUAAUCUAUGCAUUUCACUCCUCUAUAAAUAGCUCUCGCAUUGAUCAUCUCUCCACUUCACUAGCUCACAAGCAUCCUAAUUUGUGUCUAUACCCUCCUUUCUUAAUUUCUUUCUAUCCUCCUCCGAAUUCUACUAUCGUUCCCUCUUUGCUUUCCAAAAUGGCCACUGUUGAGGUAAAUAUUUCUGCAAAAAUCAAUAUUUUUCUUGCCUAUAAGCACAAAUCUUCAAGCCUCUUAGUCUAUCAUUACAACCCAUUUCUUGAUCUAGCACAAGUGGUAGCUAGAUCACCUUGAUACACAUGCAGUGUGUGCGUGUGCGUGUUGCUGAGUCCUUUUGAGCGAUAGUAUCUUUCUGAUUACUGAAGUUUUUUUCCUACUUCUUUUAUGAUCAAAUGUUUCUGCAUCUAGAUCAAGUGAUAGAUCAACUUAUUCUCUGAGCUAGAUUUGAAAAUUCUGGUUUCGAUCAACCAACUUUACCUCUUGAGAUAGACCAACAAAAUCAAAAGCCACUUGACACUUUUUUUUCUUUUCCUGAUGAUCUUUUCAAGACCCUAUUCAUGUUCUAAGCUUUUGUUCUCAAGAGAAAGUAACACAGAUUAAGGAAAUAUGAAUCCUAAAAACCCUUCUAGUUUUCUUCUGUUUGGUUAUACAUCUUGGGAUAAAUAUCAGUAUGGUUUUUAUUGCAGGUUGAAGCUGCUCCAUCAAUUCCUGAGACCGAGGUACCUAAGGUGACCAAGACUGAGGAGACAACAACAGAAACUGCACCACCUGCCUCUGAGCCAGUAGCUGAAGAGCCAACAGAAGCAGCACCCGCUGAUGCUCCAGCCGCAGAACCUGAAGCUGAACCUGCAGUUGAGGUUGAAACCAAGGAGGUUGUAGAAGAACCAGCAAAAACUGAGCCUGAAGAGGUUGCAGCCCCAGCAGCAGAAGAAACUCCUGAGGACAAGCCUGAAGAGACUGUUGCUGAGGAGACUGUUGCUAAGGAGACUGUUGUCGAAGAGACUAAAGAGGAGGCAGCACCGGCUCCUGUUGAGGAAGAGAAGCCAGCAGAAGAAGAGAAGCCAGCUGAGACACCAGCUGCAGAGACAACCACCACAGAAGUUCCUGUGGAGACUAAUGAGUGAAUAAACUGAUUCUAAGAAGUGAUUGAUACUAGUGGGGUGGGGUCUUUGUUUUUCUUUUAGGUUUCACUGUCAAAGUCCUCAGGUUUCUGUUUUGUUUCAUUUCUCUGUUUAUUGAUUUAUGAUUAUGGUUACAGAAAGGGUUUUGGAUGGGAUCAUGGGAUAUGGAAGCUAUAGAGUCGAUACUAAGCACUUGGAACACAUCAGAUUACAACUUGCCAGCCCAGGUCAGAGCACACAGCAAGAACGGUUGCCAUUGCGAGGGCCAUGAUCACUCAUGGUGGCAUGGGGUUAAUUUGAAUGUAUGUGGGUUUCCAUAAGUUCUAUUGGUUUUGAAAUGGUGUGAUGAUG